GAAAUGCGAUAAGUAAUGUGAAUUGCAGAAUUCAGUGAAUCAUCGAAUCUUUGAACGCACAUUGCGCCCGCCAGUAUUCUGGCGGGCAUGCCUGUUCGAGCGUCAUUUCAACCAUCAAGCCCCCGGGCUUGUGUUGGGGACCUGCGGCUGCCCGCAGGCCCUGAAAACCAGUGGCGGGCUCGCUGUCACACCGAGCGUAGUAGCAAUCACCUCGCUCAGGGCGUGCUGCGGGUUCCGGCCGUUAGAGAGCCUUACAAACCCAAGGUUGACCUCGGAUCAGGUAGGAAGACCCGCUGAACUUAAGC
rnacentral:misc_RNA from 1 species